GAUCCGGUGGCUUAGUGGUUAGAGCAUCUGCCUCAGAUAUAAAGGUCAUUGGUUCAAUCCCCGUUUGAGUCA